GAGCCACGAAGGCUUACUUGGACAUCUGGGGGGAAUUCUUGCGGGAUUUUAACGGGAAAGUGUUCUUUCGGGAGCCGGCGGCGUCUUCUCAGGAGUUGGAGCUGUUUACGGACGCAUCGGGGAGUGUCGGGUUUGGGGCUUACUUAUCGGGUCAAUGGUGCGCGGGUACUUGGCCAGGGGCCUGGAAGGCCAGCCCACUGAUACGCAAACUAUCGUUCCUGGAAUUGUUCCCGUUGGGGCGCUGUCACUAUGGGGUCCACAGUUGAGGGAUUAGAAGGUGGUAUUCUUUACAGACAAUAUGGCAGUGGUAGAUGCAGUGAACAGGCUAUCAGCGUCCUCUAUCCCGG